UACAGAGGUCCCAAGCGUUGUUCGGAUUCACUGGGCGUAAAGGGUGCGUAGGUGGCGAAGUAAGUCGGAUGUGAAAUCUCCGAGCUCAACUCGGAAAUGGCAUUGGAAACUACUUUGCUCGAGGGUCGGAGGGGGGACUGGAAUUCUUGGUGUAGCAGUGAAAUGCGUAGAUAUCAAGAGGAACACCAGUGGCGAAGGCGAGUCCCUGGACGAUACCUGACACUGAGGCACGAAAGCUAGGGGAGCAAACAGG
rnacentral:rRNA from 1 species